UACGUAGGGUGCGAGCGUUAAUCGGAAUUACUGGGCGUAAAGCGCGUGUAGGCGGCCCGGUAAGUCCGCUGUGAAAGUCGGGGGCUCAACCCUCGGAUGCCGGUGGAUACUGUCGGGCUAGAGUGCGGGAGAGGCGAGUGGAAUUCCUGGUGUAGCGGUGAAAUGCGCAGAUAUCAGGAGGAACACCAAUUGCGAAGGCAGCUCGCUGGAACGUAACUGACGCUGAGACGCGAAAGCGUGGGGAGCAAACAGG
rnacentral:rRNA from 1 species